GAUGAACGCUAGCGGCAGGCUUAACACAUGCAAGUCGAGGGGUAACGUGAGUGCUUGCACUUGACGACGACCGGCGAACGGGUGCGUAACGCGUAUAGAAUCUGCCUUGUACAGGAGGAUAGCCCAGAGAAAUUUGGAUUAAUACUCCAUAAUGUUAUAUAGUGGCAUCAUUAUAUAAUUAAAGAUUUAUUGGUACAAGAUGACUAUGCGUCCUAUUAGUUAGAUGGUAAGGUAACGGCUUACCAUGGCAUCGAUAGGUAGGGGGUCUGAGAGGAUUAUCCCCCACACUGGUACUGAGACACGGACCAGACUCCUACGGGAGGCAGCAGUGAGGAAUAUUGGACAAUGGGCGAGAGCCUGAUCCAGCCAUGCCGCGUGCAGGAAGACUGCCCUAUGGGUUGUAAACUGCUUUUAUACAGGAAGAAACCUGCUUACGUGUAAGUAGUUGACGGUACUGUAAGAAUAAGCACCGGCUAACUCCGUGCCAGCAGCCGCGGUAAUACGGAGGGUGCAAGCGUUAUCCGGAAUCAUUGGGUUUAAAGGGUCCGCAGGCGGUCAAUUAAGUCAGAGGUGAAAUCUCACAGCUUAACUGUGAAACUGCCUUUGAUACUGGUUGACUUGAGUCAUAUGGAAGUAGAUAGAAUAAGUAGUGUAGCGGUGAAAUGCAUAGAUAUUACUUAGAAUACCGAUUGCGAAGGCAGUCUACUACGUAUGUACUGACGCUCAUGGACGAAAGCGUGGGGAGCGAACAGG
rnacentral:rRNA from 1 species